rnacentral:rRNA from 1 species
UACGUAGGCAGCAAGCGUUGUUCGGAGUUACUGGGCGUAAAGGGAGCGUAGGCGGGCUCUUAAGUUGGAUGUUUAAAACCGGGGCCCAACCCCGGCGUGGCAUCCAAAACUGGGAGUCUUGAAUGGAACAGAGGCUAGUGGAAUUGGAGGUGUAGCGGUGGAAUGCGUAGAGAAUCUCCAAGAACACCCGUUGCGAAGGCGGCUAGCUGGGUUCACAUUGACGCUGAGGCUCGAAAGCGUGGGGAGCAA